rnacentral:rRNA from 1 species
CGUGAGUGAUGAAGGCCUUCGGGUUGUAAAGCUCUGUCUUUGGGGACGAUAAUGACGGUACCCAAGGAGGAAGCCACGGCUAACUACGUGCCAGCAGCCGCGGUAAUACGUAGGUGGCAAGCGUUGUCCGGAUUUACUGGGCGUAAAGGAUGCGUAGGUGGAUAUGCAAGUCAGAUGUGAAAUACCCGGGCUUAACUCGGGUGCUGCAUUUGAAACUAUAUAUCGAGAGUGCAGGAGAGGUAAGUGGAAUUCCUAGUGUAGCGGUGAAAUGCGUA